AUAUAAUUUUUAUAUGAUUUGCAUAUCUAUAAAUACUUGAAUUGGAUUGGUCAAUUAUAAUUUUUCUCUAAGUUUACACUUCGAUAAACCAUGUUUCCGAAACUACUUUUGUAAUCUAUUCAUGCGCGAUACACAAGCUUGCAGUGAUCCCAGGAUUUUCAGCAAAUUGAGAUUAAAAAACAAUUGCAUAACUGUUGUGACUAUUU
rnacentral:lncRNA from 1 species